CCACCUCUUACAACACAAAUCCUGGGAAAAAGCAGAGUCCACCUAAAUGUUAGCAUCUUCCUCAGGGCAGGCUUCUCAUGUGAGGAUAAAAUAGAAGAAAAGAUUGUGACAGUCCUGGAAUUGAACACUCUCAAGUGCUUGCAACCUGAUCCUGUGUCUGUGUCUCCUCAUUCGCCGACGCCGUCCUUGCCUACGAGAGACCCACCCCGGCUGGAGCUGGACUCUGGCAAGUGGCGCCACAACGUGGGGCUCGACUAGGACGCUGACUCACCUAUCUGGAUUCCUGAUAGACUAAUCCGACAUCAUGUCUCGCAGACACCCUCCACUCCCACGUCCGAUAUGUAGACCUUUACCCCCUAUAAAUAUCCCACUUAGAGAAAGUUGUGCCCGAUCUCCAGAAGCUGCUGACCUUCUGAUUCCACCUUUACACCGGCUGCGCCUUGAAGAGUCGCAAACCAGUCCUACUGCGCCACCUAUUCCGACCACACUGCGUAGCAACCCACCAACCUGGGGACAACUGAAACAACUCUCCAAUCAAGCACAGCGUCUCGUGGAAGGGCAAGGUGUUAACGUAACCCCUGAGAACAUGUUUGUGGCUAUGUUUGCGAUCAUCUCAUGCCAGUCUUUGUCAAAUUACUAAGUAGAGGAAUAAAACAAAUUCAUUUGGAAUUGAAGACUUUGCAACUGAAGGCCAAAAAUAAAAAAGGAGGAGAUGCUUGCAACCUGA